GUGCUCUGUCCAUAGAGCUUGAGACUCUUCAUCUCAGGGUUGUGGGUUUGAGCCCCAUGUUGGACA